UAAGUGGGAAACGAUGUGGGAAGGCACAGACAGCCAGGAUGUUGGCUUAGAAGCAGCCAUCAUUUAAAGAAAGCGUAAUAGCUCACUGGUCGAGUCGGCUGCGCGGAAGAUGUAACGGGGCUAAACCAUGCACCGAAGCUGCGGCAGCGACACUAUGUGUUGUUGGGUAGGGGAGCGUUCUGUAAGCCUACGAAGGUGACCUGUGAGGGUUGCUGGAGGUAUCAGAAGUGCGAAUGCUGACAUAAGUAACGAUAAAGCGGGUGAAAAGCCCGCUCGCCGGAAGACCAAGGGUUCCUGUCCAACGUUAAUCGGGGCAGGGUGAGUCGACCCCUAGGCGAGGCCGAAAGGCGUAGUCGAUGGGAAACAGGUUAAUAUUCCUGUACUUGGUGUUACUGCGAAGGGGGGACGGAGAAGGCUAUGUUAGC
rnacentral:rRNA from 1 species